rnacentral:rRNA from 1 species
UACGUAGGGGGCAAGCGUUGUCCGGAUUUAUUGGGCGUAAAGAGCGUGUAGGCGGUUUGGUAGGUCCGCUGUGAAAACUCGAGGCUCAACUUCGAGACGCCGGUGGAAACCAUCAGACUAGAGUCCGGAAGAGGAGAGUGGAAUUCCUGGUGUAACGGUGAAAUGCGCAGAUAUCAGGAAGAACACCCGUGGCUAAGGCGGCUCUCUAGUACGGUACUGACGCUGAGACGCGAAAGCGUGGGGAGCGAACAGG